GCACGUGCGGGUCUAUACAUGCAGUCGACGGAGACGUUAUAGCAAUAUAGUGUCUUAGUGGCGAACGGGUGAGUAACGCGUUGGUGACCUGCCCCGAAGAGGGGGAUAACAGCUCGAAAGAACUGCUAAUACCCCAUGUGGUCGUGAAGAUUAGAGGCUUUGCGACUAAAGGAGUAAUCCGCUUCGGGAGGGGCCUGCGUCCCAUCAGCUAGUUGGUAGGGUAAUGGCCUACCAAGGCGACGACGGGUAGGGGACCUGAGAGGGUGACCCCCCACACUGGCACUGAAACACGGGCCAGACACCUACGGGUGGCAGCAGUAGGGAAUAUUGCACAAUGGGCGAAAGCCUGAUGCAGCAACGCCGCGUGCGCGAUGAAGGCCUUCGGGUCGUAAAGCGCUUUUUGGGGAGAUGAGGAAGGACAGUAUCCCCAGAAUAAGGUUCGGCUAACUACGUGCCAGCAGCCGCGGUAAAACGUAGGAACCGAGCGUUAUCCGAAUUUACUGGGCGUAAAGCGCGUGUAGGCGGUUCGGUAAGUUGGAUGUGAAAUCUCCCGGCUCAACUGGGAGAGGUCGUUCAAUACUGUCGGACUGGAGGGUGGUAGAGGGAGGUGGAAUUCCCGGUGUAGUGGUGAAAUGCGUAGAUAUCGGGAGGAACACCAGUGGCGAAAGCGGCCUCCUGGACCAUACCUGACGCUCAGACGCGAAAGCUAGGGGAGCGAACGGGAUUAGAAACCCCGGUAGUCCUAGCUGUAAACGAUGUCGACUUGGCGUUGGUGGGGUAAAAGCCAUCAGUGCCGUAGCUAACGCGAUAAGUCGACCGCCUGGGGACUACGGCCGCAAGGUUAAAACUCAAAGGAAUUGACGG
rnacentral:rRNA from 1 species